rnacentral:lncRNA from 1 species
ACGAACAACAUUCCGCCGUAAAUAUAUUCUUUUCCAAUCCCCAACUUGCUUCCGGCAUUGUCAAGCUCGUGCCCAUGCCCAGCUGCGUGUCCCUCGUGCGUCCUAGGGGGGCAGCCCGCCCCACGUGGGCCCAAGCGUCGCUGAGCGGUACGACAUGCACAUCAUAUCGUGGGGAAAGGGAGGGGGCCAGGAAGGGGGGACACACAAGCGGGUCAGUUGGAUGGAUGGCCACGCAUUAUGGAGCAUAGCGCGCAUGUCUGUAGUACAGCUGCCAGCAAAAACAGUUUAUGUGUCACGCCACUCAUGCACCUUGUUCUUCAUUCGUAGAUUCAUGAAAAUGUCCGGGACCUGCGUUGCAGACAGACCUGCGUUGCAGUUUUCCAAAAUGGACAAUCAUCAGCAAGUCCAUUUUGGAAAACUGCAACGAGAUUGUAAAAUUAUCAGUGCCAACAUGGUUCUUUGGAAACUGGCUGCUCGGUUGCCCUGCCCUGCUGCCACACUAGCCAAGUCUGACAUGGUUUGGAAACUUCCCUUGCUGUCGUACACCUCUAACGUGACGGCAGGCAUUCCUUCUCGGUUAUGUUUUAAAGGAAUUUGACCGACCGAACGAAUUAUCACGUGAAAUAUUAUAAAUAUCAUAAACCUCCGUGCCAGUCCCAAACCUGGCCAUGCCGUGAGAUCCCGUUAAACCACACCCGCACUGGGGCUCGACGUGCCUGUAUACCUGCGUAAAUGAAGCCAUGCAGAAAUGACGUUUUCGUUGCUUAUGUUAUGGCAUGGAUGCCACUCGAGAUGUGCAUGUGCAAGUGCACCCAGGAUGGAUGUUUUUAAAGCUGGGGAUUAUUGAAUUUGUUUUCCUGUUUUAUUUCUAUGCUUUACCAAAGUGUGCAGAUUAGGUAAUGUGCGGUUAUCUCAGGUUCGUCCCCGCAGGUACGACAUGGGAAGCUUCGCACAGGACAGAAUGCGUGAGAUCAGG